UCGUAUUUGUCGUUGCUGAACAUUGAUCUAUUUAUUAUAUAUAAGUUGGUCUAGACCAUAUCUAGACUUGUUUGUGUUGAAGUAGUGGAAACAGCUACAUCCACUUAUUUUUUGUGAAAACCGUUUAUCGUAUAACGGAACGUCGUCAGAGGUGACCUUGGUCUCACCUAGUCUACAUUAGACAUUACGGACAUUUUGGUCUAGUGAAGCCGCGUGCAGCAGCAACUGUUGUCGAACUACUGGAUUAGCAGCAGAAGCAGUGAACUAUUUUAGAGAAUCGUUAUUCGUCAGCCCAGAUCAAGUCAUCGUCAAGAAAGUCGUUAUUCGUUCGCCCAGAACAAGUUAUUGUCAAGAGACCGUUACUCGUCAGUAUUUGUCUACACAAAUCAUUCAUAGCCUUGAGAACUAUUAACCUAUUCGUCAGCAGUCGUUUAUAGUCUGCAAAUGAAGUCGUCGCAACUACACAUACGGUCAUCAACAGUCGUCUAAGAAACAGCAGUCGUUUAUAGUCUGCAAAUCAAGUCGUCGCAACUACACAUACGGUCAUCAACAGUCGUCUAAGAAACUGGAGUAUUUUGCUGUGGCAUAUCAAAACAUCUGGGGCAUUACGUGAGAUACUUGACACAGAUCGUAUCCAGUGGCAGUACCGGAGAACAGAGUCGGAAGAGAGGCAGUGGAAUUUGCUGUAGAUCUAUCAUAUUCGGAAUCUGAACAUUGGAAAUCUCCACCUGAUCUUACCAUCUCUUUCUUAUCAUAGCUAAGUGCCAUUUUUCUUAUUAGUAUAUGUUUAGAUUGCCCUUAGAAAUAGGUUUUGGUACGUUAGAUUGAGUACAAUCAGGUGGUGCGCCUUAAACCCAAGUGGAAAAGACGUAAUCUAGACAAAAAGCUAUAAUGAUUAUAAUCAUAUAAUGUAUAUUUAGGAUUGUAAUUGUUUUUGUUUGUAUAAACGUCAUAUCCGUUGUUGCUUGGUUACUUCGUGACGUUAUCACUGUGUGCCAUAUUGUCAUAUCCUAAGUUCCUAACCCAUAGCGAUAAUCUCAUUUAAUUAUUUCAUGUGUGUAUAUUAUAUUAUAUUUUUUAUUUUUAUUAAUUUAAUUAGAUCUGUUAUUUUUUUCACUUAAUGAUAAAAAGUGCAGGUAAGAUUAUUUUAUUGUGAAUCAGACUAAGAUAAAUUUUUAGUUGGAGCGGUUAAAAUCAAAUAUGAUUUUGCCAUGAGAAUAGUUCCGAAACUGGCAUAGUAGUCUAACACUGUCGUCUGGCUAAUUUUAGAUCCACAAAUUCUUGAAUAUUUCAUUUGUACAUCUGGACUACAUAGUUUUGUAUUAAUUUGAAAGUUAAGGAAGAUUACUGCCAGUGGAGAAUAUUUGUGUGAGAUUUAUGAAGUGCCCAUGAAAUGCCACAUUGCUAUGAUGAACUUCGAAAGUAUACAGAGUGCCAAGUGAACAUUGUUAUGAACAUUUAAAUGAACAUUAUUGGAAAUAUGGAUAUGAACAUUGAGAUGAACAUUAGUGCGAACUGUCAAGCCAAGAUAAAGAUGUCAAGAUUUUAUGUUUGUUGUCUUCCCCAUGAAAUGCUAAUGCCCUGUAAGACUUGACAGUAGUAGAAAAAAAUAUUGACAUAUUUUUUUUUCCAAGGGGGGGAGGAAUCUGUUAGGCACCUAGUUUAUAGUAUUAGUUAUAUAGCGACGCACCAUAGAAGACAUAUAUUGAACGGUUUUGGGUUAGAAACUGGACAAUCAGUUAGCAAUAGGAUUCUCUUGGGUAAAGACGUGUUCUAUUUGACAGAGACUUUGACUGUGGCCUUUUAUUGGAUUAAACGUAUUAUUCAUUGUU